GUAGCAGACCUACCGCAGGCGUCAUUCAGGUGAAGCCUGCAAACCACUCUAAGGUGCUGUAUUCAAAAGAUAUGGUAUUGAGCAUUAGAGAAAAGGCAACAUGAGUUGUCAGG
rnacentral:ncRNA from 1 species